CUCAGGAUGAACGCUAGCGGCAGGCUUAACACAUGCAAGUCGAGGGGUAUUAGGAGCUUGCUCCUAAAGAGACCGGCGCACGGGUGCGUAACGCGUAUGCAAUCUACCUUUUACAGGGGAAUAGCCCAGAGAAAUUUGGAUUAAUGCCCCAUAGUAUGUAUGAAUCGCAUGGUUUAUACAUUAAAAGUUCCAACGGUAUAAGAUGAGCAUGCGUCCCAUUAGUUAGUUGGUAAGGUAACGGCUUACCAAGACAAUGAUGGGUAGGGGUCCUGAGAGGGAGAUCCCCCACACUGGUACUGAGACACGGACCAGACUCCUACGGGAGGCAGCAGUGAGGAAUAUUGGUCAAUGGGCGCAAGCCUGAACCAGCCAUGCCGCGUGCAGGAAGACGGUCCUAUGGAUUGUAAACUGCUUUUAUACAGGAAGAAACCCUCCCACGUGUGGGAGCUUGACGGUACUGUAGGAAUAAGGAUCGGCUAACUCCGUG
rnacentral:rRNA from 1 species